CAGGACGAACGCUGGCGGCGUGCCUAACACAUGCAAGUCGAGCGGGGACGAUGCGACGGAAGAGAAGUUUCGGAUGGAUCUGAAGAUGUAUGUUCUAGCGGCGGACGGGUGAGUAACGCGUGAGCAACCUGUCCUUCACAGGGGGAUAACACAGCGAAAGUUGUACUAAUACCGCAUAAGACCACGGAGAGACAUCUCUCAGGGGUCAAAGGAGCAAUCCGGUGAAGGGUGGGCUCGCGUCCGAUUAGAUAGUUGGUGAGGUAACGGCCCACCAAGUCGACGAUCGGUAGCCGACCUGAGAGGGUGAUCGGCCACAUUGGGACUGAGACACGGCCCAAACUCCUACGGGAGGCAGCAGUGGGGAAUAUUGGGCAAAUGGGGGAAACCCUGACCCAGCAACGCCGCGUGAGGGAAGAAGGUUUUCGGAUCGUAAACCUCUGUCCCAGGUGAAGAGCAAGAGACGGUAACCUGGGAGGAAGCCCCGGCUAACUACGUGCCAGCCGCCGC
rnacentral:rRNA from 1 species